rnacentral:lncRNA from 1 species
AAAGGUUUGUUUAAAAUUGAUAAAUGUAAUCGAAUACUUCUGACUGAGAUUAUAGGUGAACAUAAGGAUAACAAACCUUAUAUGCCAAGACCCAAGAACAAGCCUGCUGCAACCAUUGGAAAUUAUAAUGGUAUUAGUAUUGAUGUAGUCACAUGUUAUAGGUCCAAACAAUGGCCUGUACAGGCAAGUGAAUGGCUGACCCGACAAAGAUGCAAUGGAUGGCCAAAAGAAGAUGUGAUUAAUGAGCUGAAAUCGCUUGGAUAUUUUCUUGUGAGAAAAGGUCAUGUUUCGUCUCCCGAAAAAGAUUUCGAAUGGAGAAUAUCUCUCACUUUACAAGAACGAAAACUAAUAUUUGAUCUAACAGAUGUUCAAUUUAAAUGUUACGUUGUUCUUA